UUUUUUUCCAGAGAAAAAAAAUGUAGAUAAAUGAAAACUACUGUACUCUUAACAGCAUUGCAGCUAUUAUGUGAUAGCUAACUAGCUAUAAUGAUCCAUUACACAAUAUGACAAAGAACUUGCAAUAUGACUAGAAAAAACAAGCAAAUCACAUUCCACAAAGAUGAUGAAAACAUGGAGAAGCUACAAAAGUUCUGACAGUGUACGUUAUGGACAAUUUCCUUGUUACCAAGAAAAAAAAAAUGCACUAACAAAUUUACAAAGACAUGAGAAUG
rnacentral:misc_RNA from 1 species